rnacentral:tRNA from 1 species
AGAAACUUAGGAUAAUUAGACCAAAAGCCUUCAAAGCUUUCAGCAGGAGUUAGACCCUCCUAGUUUCUGU